AUAGCUCAGUUGGUUAGAGCGCCAGAUUGUGGCUCUGGAGGUCGUGAGUUCGACUCUCAUU
rnacentral:tRNA from 1 species